AAUAUUGCACAAUGGGCGGAAGCCUGAUGCAGCGACGCCGCGUGAGGGAUGACGGCCUUCGGGUUGUAAACCUCUUUCAGUAGGGAAGAAGCGAAAGUGACGGUACCUGCAGAAGAAGCCCCGGCCAACUACGUGCCAGCAGCCGCGGUAACACGUAGGGGGCGAGCGUUGUCCGGAUUUAUUGGGCGCAAAGAGCUCGUAGGCGGUUCACUAAGUCGGGUGUGAAACCUCCAGGCUCAACCUGGAGACGCCACCUGAUACUGGUGUGACUAGAGUCCGGUAGGGGAGUGUGGAACUCCUGGUGUAGCGGUGAAAUGCGCAGAUAUCAGGAAGAACACCAGCGGCGAAGGCGGCACUCUGGGCCGGUACUGACGCUGAGGAGCGAAAGCGUGGGUAGCAAAC
rnacentral:rRNA from 1 species